UUAAAUUGAAGAGUUUGAUCAUGGCUCAGAUUGAACGCUGGCGGCAGGCCUAACACAUGCAAGUCGAGCGGCAGCGGGAAAGUAGCUUGCUACUUUU
rnacentral:rRNA from 1 species